rnacentral:rRNA from 1 species
UACGGGGGGGGCAAGCGUUGUUCGGAAUUACUGGGCGUAAAGGGCUCGUAGGCGGCCAACUAAGUCAGACGUGAAAUCCCUCGGCUUAACCGGGGAACUGCGUCUGAUACUGGAUGGCUUGAGGUUGGGAGAGGGAUGCGGAAUUCCAGGUGUAGCGGUGAAAUGCGUAGAUAUCUGGAGGAACACCGGUGGCGAAGGCGGCAUCCUGGACCAAUUCUGACGCUGAGCAGCGAAAGCCAGGGGAGCAAACGGG